UCGGGAAUUUUGAGCAAUGGGCGAAAGCCUGACCCAGCAACGCCGCGUGAGGGAUGAAGUAUUUCGGUAUGUAAACCUUGAAAGAAUGGGAAGAAUAAAUGACGGUACCAUUUAUAAGCUCCGGCUAACUACGUGCCAGCAGCCGCGGUAAUACGUAGGGAGCAAGCGUUGUUCGGAUUUACUGGGCGUAAAGGGCGCGUAGGCGGCGCGGUAAGUCACUUGUGAAAUCUCUGAGCUUAACUCAGAACGGCCAAGUGAUACUGCUGUGCUAGAGUGCGGAAGAGGCAACCGGAAUUCUUGGUGUAGCGGUGAAAUGCGUAGAUAUCAAGAGGAACACCUGAGGCGAAGGCGGGUUGCUGGGCCGACACUGACGCUGAUGCGCGAAAGCCAGGGGAGCAAACG
rnacentral:rRNA from 1 species